AUUCAUGUGACUUGCUUCUUGUGGUAGUUGCUGUAUUGCAGAGGUCUGGAACCAAACCUGCAAUAUCUCUGAGGUAUGCCUAUGUGCUUCAGAUGUAUCAUUCUCUAGAGAACUUACUUUUAUAAUCAAGUGCUUGUUCCUGAGGGACAUACUAAUAAAUGCAUGGAUUGGCUUAAAUCAGGGAAACUGAGACUUUUAGUACUGAGGACUAUUCAAAAUUCCUUCUUAAAUGUAUGUCAUUCUCCUGAAGGUUUAGAAAUUCUUUAAAUAUAACUCUCAAAUCUGCAUUUGGCCUCAUCCAAAAUCUACUCUCCCCAGAUUUAAGUGGAAUUUAUACUUUUAUUGUCACCAAUACAAGUUCAGGUGGAAAAGGAGGUGACUUAUGGAAGGCAUCUACUCACAGGACAUUGCCUAUAUGAAUGUCAUAGGAGAUGCCCAAGGCCCAUGACUCUAGGUGUAUUUCUGGGAAUAGGGGAGCUACAGACACUUAAGUUUGGUUUUGGAAUAUUGUCACUUCUAGCCCCCUUUUUUGGUCCUGUAUGAAAAAUAUGAGCAAGCAGAAGACCCACAGAAUCAUUUUGGAGAAAUAUUCAGUCCCAGUAAAUAAUUGUCAGCAUAAGCUUAUAUGUAUGAAUAUCUCAACAAAACAGCUGAGUUCCUAUCUAAAGACACAUCAGACAAAAGAAAAAAACAAAAAUUAUAGAUAUUAUAGUAAGAGUGUCAUAAGGAAACAGACACCAAAAUGAUAAUAAUAAGAAAUCUUGGGUGAAACAGAUUUUGUAUGAAAAAAUAUUUCAAAAAGAAGGACAGCAGUAAUAAAAAUUGUCAGAUACAGGUAGUUAUCUUGGUAAGCUUGAGCUACUGUAACAGAAUAUCAUAGACUGGAUGGCGUAUAAACAACAGAAAUUUAUCUUUCAUUGUCCUGGAGGCUAAGAAGUCCAAAGUCAAGGUGCCAGCGGAUUCAGUGUCUGGUGAGGGCCUGCUUCCUGGUUCAUAGACUGCUGUUUUUUUGCUGUGUUCUCCAUGGCAGAAAAGGUCCUGAAGGGCCUGGGAAAUGCAGGGCUGGUGACGGAAACCCUUCCAAAUUCAGCUUGGAUCAGAGAACUACAGGAAGCAAGGAUGCACAAAAAAAUUUCCCAGAAAAGCCAUACCUGUCAGGAUCACUGGUCUCUGUGACAGCAAAGAAAGGGCCUUUGCAAGAUUUAAAGCCCAAAAGAAAACCCUGGAGUCUCCUACCAUCCAUGAAACUGCCCAUAAAUUGCUGGUCCGGGAAAAACUAUGUCACUAAACAAUAAGUGUUCAAGAAAGACUAUAGCGCAGCAUCAAUACAAAGAUUUUAUAAGAAACAAUUCGAUAAAGCUGGAAAAAUGGAUAAAUGCAUGAAAACAUUCACAAGAAGGAUGAUGUCACAGAACUAGCGAGAAUGCUGAUUAUGUCAUAUAUCCACCACAAGGUAAAGUUUUUAGUGAAAUGAUCACUUCUGUAUAGGAAAAUCACAAAACACACGUGUAGGAACUCAUGUGUUACUAAGUUUUUUCUUUGGCAUUUUGGCUGAACUACCUUUGGACUGAAAAUGUAUUUCUUAUUCAGAGAACAUAAAAAUAUUCUUGUAUUUAACAUUUUUUUCAUCUGAGUCCAUUUUUUGCUUUUCAUUCAUCUGAAAGUUUCUAUGUAAUAUGGUUUGAAGUAGGAAUAUAACUAUGUUUUCCAUUUAUUAGUUGUCUCAGUAUCAUUGAAUAAACCUUCCUUUCCCUACUUAUUAAAGAUUCUGCUUUAAUCAUAUUCUUAAGUCUUAUACAUGUGAAUACAUAAUAUACAUAUAUAUAGAUAUCUACAUGUAUAUUAAUUGCUUGCUGGGCACUCUCUUCAGUUUUAUUAGUUUUCUUAUUUUGUAACUCAUUUAGAAUCAAUUUACAAAGAUGAAUUAAAAAUACAUUUAUUCUAUUAUCGAUAAAGAUGUCAACAUAUUUCAAAAUACAUAAGACCAUACAAGUUCCAGUUGAAUAAUACACUUAUGUUUUGCAAAUUUUAUUUGCCUUCAGUAGGCAAAACUUACAUUAUCAAGUAGCAUUUUUAAUAAAGCAAAUAGCAUAUAUCUUAGUAAGAUUAUCUUUUUUCAAUAAAAAUAUUAAAUGUGUUUACUUUCCUGGAUGUUGUCUACAUAUCCUACAUAGCAUGGCUCUUUACAAGAAAAAUUAGUCAGAGCUACAUAGUCAAAUUGUAAUGGUAAUGCCUUAAUGGAUGAGUGAAAAAGCUAUCAGCCUAGAAAAAAAAUUUUUCCUAAUUUUUAUACAUGAAUAAAGAAACAAGAAAAUAACUUUUAUCUUUUUAAUGGGAUUUAUUUAUGUUUAAGUAAAGGUAGCAAAUGUUACAUAAGUUGUUUCCUUAAGAACAUUUAUUUUGUACAAUCACAUUGUUAUCAAGCAAGACUUAUGGAAAGUUUCCUGGGUCCACAACACUGAACUUUGAAACUAUUGUAGCAUCCUCUUUUCCAAGUUUAAACAUGACUUUGUGCACUGAAGAAGUAUGGCUUCGCAUUGCAGGGUGGUCACAUGUGACAACCUGACACCAAGUGAGAAGCCUUUUGAUGAAGUAUGUUUUAUCUUUUGUUGAGUUACAAAAUGGUACUUUCAUGUGUGUGAUUAUCAAACCCAUACUUUUUUUUCAGGUCAUUUCUCUUCUGCUACAAUCAAAAUAAACCAGUUAAAACUAAGCAGUAUAGCAAUGUAAUCGACCAACUAUCUAUCAGGUUAUAUCUUAUAUAGGAUGUUUUAGGUGAUAUUGAUGCUUUAUAUUACACAUCUGUAUUUAAUAUACUUUGGGCAAUACAAAGUUAGAACAUGUCUGGUAGAUAAACAAAAAGAUUUCCCUGAAAAUUGAUACAUUGUUUUAACAAUCACAAAAACUUACGUUUAUUCUUCAGAAGUGUGGUGGAAUUGUUUAAUAUUAAAAUAAAACAUCUUGCUGUUGUCA